rnacentral:tRNA from 1 species
CGGAGCGUAGCGCAGUCUGGUAGCGCGUUUGCUUCGGGAGCAAAAGGCCGUGGGUUCAAAUCCCACCGCUCCGACCA